GUCACGAUAGCUCAAAUGGUAGAGCAGCGACCUGUCAAGGCGAAGAUGGUGGGUUCGAAUCCCGCUCGUGCCA
rnacentral:tRNA from 1 species